rnacentral:lncRNA from 1 species
CCUGAAAAAUGAAUUUUCAAAGGACAAUAUGGAAAAGAACUAUUUAAGAAAGUGAACACCAUGUAGGAUACAAAAGGAGCAACUAUAAGCUUCUUAAGAAAACCCUCAAAAUGAUAACCACUUCAGAAAAAGUGACAGACAAUGCUGCACUCUCCUUAGGAAGAGAUCUCUCAGCUGCCAGAACAUAAUUUCCCUUCCAAGACUCCGCCAGUAUAUCA